rnacentral:sRNA from 1 species
UUCAGGAGUGCAGGGAAGGAAAGCUUUGGUGUAUGUGGACCAGAGGCUCCCAGAGUCCUGGCCCCUGGAAACAACGUGUCAUCCGAAAACAAAGACUCAUGCUGGUCUCUUGGCUUUAGAACCGUGAACAGAUUGGCCUCACUCCAGUGAAAAGGAAACAAUUUUUCAGUGAACACUUAAAUACAUGCAUCUAAAUUUCAACGACUUAACAAUUCACAAGAAUUGCUUUCCCACCGGUUCUAGACGCUUCCGAUUGCGUCUUCGACACAGCCGGGUCAGCAUUAUCGAUUUCGAAAAACUAGAGUUCUACAGUAUCACCAUGCUCACGGAAGAAAGUCCUACUGCUUUCCUAGAAAGUUGAGCUUAUCAGGAUUGGAAUAUUGUCCCUCUGAGUCCCUGUAGAAUUAUAUAGGUGAAGUACAACCCGUUUUCAGGGCAGGACUUUUGGAAGUUACCCAGUUCCGUUUGUCUGAUGUUUUUGCCCUCCCAGCAUGAUUUAACUUCUCUUUAGCUCUGUAAUUUAAGUGGGAGCUUCUUGAACCAGAAGCUUGGUGUGAUGGUAGGACUCCUUCACACAUUCUAUAGAGCUCUAAGUGUUAUUUCCCCUGGGGGAGACUAUUAAAUUCUUAAACACAA